AUAUUCACCGUAAAAUAGGGUGGUAAUGGAUGAAAUUCGUCCAUUGGCAAGCGACGUUCGACUGACUGCAACAUUCAUUGCGAGUAUGAUUAAGACGUGAAAAAAGUUUUUAUCGAGUUUCGUAGUCUAUUGCCAAAAGCCAACUCUGUCAAACUUCGUCGCUAGCACUGAAGGAAUUCGUCUACUGCUGAAUCAACAGGGUGCCGUGCGUUUGUCGCAGUUCUGGGAAGAAAACUCCUAUUGCAUAGGAUAGAAGAUGAAAUCGUGGUAUCUAGUCAUAUUGGUCCUCAGCGCAGCAGUAAUGUCCGUGACUGCACAGCAAUAUGUCGCUCACUAUAAUUGCAACGACGGAGGGCGUUAUUUUGUAAGCGACGGUAACUGGAUUGGAACUGCUUCAUCAGCUGCAGAAGCUAGGUGUACUGCUGUUCAAACUACAUUGGUGACAAUGUCUGAUAUCGCUGGAACAUGUUCUCAGUCCUAUAUCGCUUAUAUCACCACCAAUCUGAAAAGAUCCGUUUCUGUUUGGGUGUCGGACGGAAGCGGAGGUGUUACUUGCUAUCCUAAAGUGACACCAUGCCCAGCCGCUGAUGUUGUCAUGUGUAUAAACACCAGACUUGAUGCAGUUUCACCACCAAGUCAACACUGUGGUACCGCAUUAUCUCCUGUAGCUAACGGAACUAUCACCUAUCCAAGUGGAGACGUGUUUCCGUCGCAGGCCUUUC